rnacentral:rRNA from 1 species
CAGUCGCCGCGGUAAUGCGAAGGGGGCUAGCGUUGCUCGGAAUUACUGGGCGUAAAGGGAGCGUAGGCGGAUCGUUUAGUCAGGGGUGAAAUCCCGGGGCUCAACCUCGGGACUGCCUUUGAUACUGGCGAUCUUGAGUAUGGGAGAGGUGUGUGGAACUCCGAGUGUAGAGGUGAAAUUCGUAGAUAUUUGGAAGAACACCAGUGGCGAAGGCGACACACUGGCCCAUUACUGACGCUGAGGCUCGAAAGCGUGGGGAGCAAACAGGAUUAGAUACCCCCGUAGUCCCUGUCUCUUAUAC